rnacentral:rRNA from 1 species
GGGCGAAAGCCUGAUGCAGCGACGCCGCGUGAAGGAUGAAGUAUUUCGGUAUGUAAACUUCUAUCAGCAGGGAAGAAAAUGACGGUACCUGACUAAGAAGCCCCGGCUAACUACGUGCCAGCAGCCGCGGUAAUACGUAGGGGGCAAGCGUUAUCCGGAUUUACUGGGUGUAAAGGGAGCGUAGACGGCUGUACAAGUCUGAAGUGAAAGGCAUGGGCUCAACCUGUGGACUGCUUUGGAAACUGUGCAGCUAGAGUGUCGGAGAGGUAAGUGGAAUUCCUAGUGUAGCGGUGAAAUGCGUAGAUAUUAGGAGGAACACC